rnacentral:lncRNA from 1 species
AGCUUAUGAGGGAUUAAAAGAGGAAGACUCUACCAAAAUAGCUAAUGAUCAAUUCCAAUGAUCAAAGUGACAGAACAAAUGGAAAAGGAAAGGACGACUCUGCUGCCAAUUGCAAGACUUGCCCUCUAAUUGCUUCAUCAGUUUUCCAGAUUUCGAUGUAAUGCCACCCCUUUGUGCACAGGAUUAUAACAUCGCCCCUCUCAGAG